UAGGGAAUAUUAGAAAUGGCCGAAAGUCUGAUCUAGCAACACCGCGUGUGCGAUGAAGGCCCUCGGGUCGUAAAGCACUUUUUGGAAGGAAUAGGAAGGAAUGUACUUCCAGAAUAAGUCUCGGCUAACUACGUGCCAGCAGCCGCGGUAACACGUAGGAGGCAAACGUUAUCCGGAUUUACUGGGCGUAAAGCGCGUGUAGGUGGUACUGUAAGUAGGGCGUGAAAGCUCCUGGCUCAACUGGGAGAGGCCGUUCUAAACUACAGAACUAGAGGAUGGUAGAGGGAGGUGGAAUUCCAGGUGUAGCGGUGGAAUGCGCAGAUAUCUGGAGGAACACCGGUGGCGAAGGCGGCCUCCUGGACCAUUCCUGACACUCAGACGCGAAAGCUAGGGUAGCAAACGG
rnacentral:rRNA from 1 species